CUAAGACCCCUUCUGUUGCAUUGCUUGACGUUGUAGUCUAUUUACAUAAUCAUUGUUUUCAUUGAUUUAAUCCCCACUGGUUUGUGCGCUAUUUUCCUUCUCCCCACCCCCUAUCCUACAUACUUCCUCUUCCUGACACUUCCGCCUCAGGAGAUAUAAAAGACAGGGCUUUCUAAUGAAGAGAGAUUAGAAGAGAUUAGAUUGUUGAACUGCAUCCCCCCGCUCGUCAAUAAAGAUUGAACUGCGUUCCCAGCUCAGCCAUGAGUCCCUGGUCAUCUGUCUUCCUCCCGUGAAGCUAGACCAAACUGGGACCGGCACCCCUACCAUUUGCAUUGGGUCCCUCCCAUCACUGAACAUUGAGCAAACUAUAUGAAACAACAGCUGUGAGGAGCUGGUUAACUGAAGAUAUUAAGACAAGACACUGGCAGCCCAGGGAGUGAGGGCUGAGAGGAGAGGAGAGAGGAGCCACCAGGUUCCAGAUGCCAGCAGGAUGCUGGCCAGGCUUCACUGGACAGACAACCCCAUCAAUGUGUCCUGGAGCUCCACUUCCCCAGAGCCCCACCCUACUAGGGAAAGAGACAGGCUGGAAGUAUGGAUCAACCUGUUAAUGCCCAUGCUCAGCGGGGAAGCAAUUACAGAAGCCAGACCUUCCACCUUCUGCAACCCACAAUGACCUUGGGUUCAUACUCC